rnacentral:rRNA from 1 species
AUUGAACGCUGGCGGCAGGCUUAACACAUGCAAGUCGAGCGGAGUGAUGGUGCUUGCUCUGUCACUUAGCGGCGGACGGGUGAGUAAUGCUUAGGAAUCUGCCUAUUAGUGGGGGACAACAUCUCGAAAGGGAUGCUAAUACCGCAUACGUCCUACGGGAGAAAGCAGGGGAUCACUUGUGACCUUGCGCUAAUAGAUGAGCCUAAGUCGGAUUAGCUAGUUGGGGGGGUAAAGGCCUACCAAGGCGACGAUCUGUAGCGGGUCUGAGAGGAUGAUCCGCCACACUGGGACUGAGACACGGCCCAGACUCCUACGGGAGGCAGCAGUGGGGAAUAUUGGACAAUGGGGGGAACCCUGAUCCAGCCAUGCCGCGUGUGUGAAGAAGGCCUUAUGGUUGUAAAGCACUUUAAGCGAGGAGGAGGCUCUUUUGGUUAAUACCCAAGAUGAGUGGACGUUACUCGCAGAAUAAGCACCGGCUAACUCUGUGCCAGCAGCCGCCGUAA